rnacentral:rRNA from 1 species
GUGAGUCAUCGAGUCUUUGAACGCACAUUGCGCUCUCUGGUAUUCCGGAGAGCAUGCUUGUUUGAGUAUCAGUAAACACCUCAAAUCCUCACUUCUUUUUGAAGAGAGGAAUUUGGACUUGAGCAAUCCCAACACUUGCAAGAGUGGCGGGUUGCUUGAAAUGCAGGUGCAGCUGGACUUUCCUCUGAGCUAAAAGCAUAUUUAUUUAAUCCCGUCAAACGGAUUAUUACUUUUGCUGCAGCUUAACAUAAAGGAGAAUCGUUCUUGUGCUGACUGAUGCAGGAUUCACAGGUUGCUUCGGCUGACUUGUAAACUCGAUCUCAAAUCAAGUAAGACUACCCGCUGAACUUAAGCAUAUCAAUAAGCGGAGG